GUUUGUUCUUGUGAUAUUUUGGGAGUCAGUAGCAAUGCCCUUGGUGUUUUCUUGUCUGUUUUGUAAGUCCUGAGCGUAGGUGUUCUUUCUGUAUUUUCCCUCCAGUUUGUUUACUACCUGUUGGACUCAACUGUGUCUCCCUCUCACACCUGGAUGCAUGUGGUUACCCAGUAUGUCUUUCCUUUACCCCACAUUCUUAUCAGAUCAUUGUGUUUUCUUCCUUGUAUUCCAGUGUUCUCCUCGUGUUGCUUUAGUAUCUUAUUUUUACCUUGUGUCCUCUAGUUUCCAGUGUUUUUGGUCUUGAGGUUUUUUGUUCUGGAUUUUUGGCCUUGGACUUUCAGAUGUAAGUUUUUCUUUUCCCAGCUAUAGUAUUUCCUCCUAGCUCCUAUUGGUCCUCUGCAUUUAGAAUGCCCUAUUUAGAACUGCCCUAACCCAGCCUCUUCCUCUGCUUCAACAGCCAACCAGCAACCCACCUCCACCCCAGCUCCACCCUUGUGCGGGCUAAACUGCUCCACUACCCUUGAAGCACUCUUGUUCCGGGGGGUUCUGUUCAUUGCUGCUCUACCCCCCCUGUUGUUUCUGCAUUCAUGAUGCCCCAUGAAGGGCGGGAAGGUGCUCUUCCUGCCGCUGGCCUCUCACGCUUGUGUGGAGAACGGGGGGCCCCGAACAGAACCUCGUGUUUGGUAAUAUUUUAACUUGUGCGAGCAAACAAUGUCCUUUACGUCUUCUUCUGCGGAUAUAAUCGAUUUCUGCCGACUUUGCAAAGUCAACUGCAGAAUUAAUGGCAUUCUGAAUGAACGGCGCUCUGUAGACGUCGCCAUCUACACAUGGACCAAUCAGUGGCUGCCUUUCACUGUUGUCUGGGGAACAGUGGAAACACAUUCACUGAUUGGCCUGGUUAUUUUCUGAUUUCUAAUAUACGCUCCCAAUUGGCCGAAGUCCAGACUGUUGUGGGAAGGAACGGCAAGUGAUUCACGCAACUGGAUGGCCCAGCCAGGCUAGCUCUUCCUGCCUCUGGCUUCCACACAAGUGCAUGGAUGGGCAAGGACCUGGAACCGAGCUAUGCCGCCAAAUUUAACUUUUCAUGAUAAAGCUGAAUUUUGACAAAGUGAUCCUGACUGAACUUCUUUUCCUCAGAAUCAAGUCAAAGACACUGUCUUGUCUUGAAACUUUCUCAUGAUAACUUUUUUUGAUAACUAUUUAUUCAUCAC